GCGCGAGUGGUGUAUCGGUAACAUUGGGUCUUCCCAACUUUCUAAUUUGAACUGGCCUAGCACCGGGUUCGACUCCCGGCUCGCGCA